rnacentral:rRNA from 1 species
UAUCCUACGGGAGGCAGCAGUGAGGAAUAUUGGUCAAUGGGCGGGAGCCUGAACCAGCCAAGCCGCGUGAGGGAAGAAGGUACAGAGUAUCGUAAACCUCUUUUGUCAGGGAACAAAGGCGGGGACGCGUCCCCGGAUGAGUGUACCUGAAGAAAAAGCAUCGGCUAACUCCGUGCCAGCAGCCGCGGUAAUACGGAGGAUGCGAGCGUUAUCCGGAUUUAUUGGGUUUAAAGGGUGCGCAGGCGGUCUGUUAAGUCAGCGGUCAAAGCCCGGGGCUCAACCCCGGCCCGCCGUUGAAACUGGUC